rnacentral:rRNA from 1 species
UGCCACAGCCAUAUCACCCUGCAGCCCAAGACAGUUACUCACUGAAGCUAAGCAGGCCUGAGCCUGGUUAGUACCUGGAUGGUAGACCACAUAGGUUGCUGUUGGAAGUGGUGUUAG